rnacentral:rRNA from 1 species
GACGUAGGAGGCGAGCGUUGUCCGGAUUCAUUGGGCGUAAAGAGCACGCAGGCGGUUUGGCAAGUCGGAUGUGAAAACCCGAAGCUCAACUUCAGGCGUGCAUCCGAAACUGCCCGACUAGAGGUAGGUAGGGGAGAUCGGAAUUCCUGGUGUAGCGGUGAAAUGCGCAGAUAUCAGGAGGAACACCGGUGGCGAAGGCGGAUCUCUGGGCCUUACCUGACGCUCAGGUGCGAAAGCUAGGGGAGCGAACAGG